rnacentral:rRNA from 1 species
CUUGGUCAUUUAGAGGAAGUAAAAGUCGUAACAAGGUUUCCGUAGGUGAACCUGCGGAAGGAUCAUUACCUAGAGUUGUAGGCUUUGCCUGCUAUCUCUUACCCAUGUCUUUUGAGUACCUUCGUUUCCUCGGCGGGUUCGCCCGCCGAUUGGACAAUUUAAACCAUUUGCAGUUGCAAUCAGCGUCUGAAAAAACUUAAUAGUUACAACUUUCAACAACGGAUCUCUUGGUUCUGGCAUCGAUGAAGAACGCAGCGAAAUGCGAUAAGUAGUGUGAAUUGCAGAAUUCAGUGAAUCAUCGAAUCUUUGAACGCACAUUGCGCCCCUUGGUAUUCCAUGGGGCAUGCCUGUUCGAGCGUCAUUUGUACCUUCAAGCUCUGCUUGGUGUUGGGUGUUUGUCUCGCCUCUGCGCGUAGACUCGCCUCAAAACAAUUGGCAGCCGGCGUAUUGAUUUCGGAGCGCAGUACAUCUCGCGCUUUGCACUCAUAACGACGACGUCCAAAAGUACAUUUUUACACUCUUGACCUCGGAUCAGGUAGGGAUACCCGCUGAACUUAAGCAUAUCAAUAAGCGGAG